rnacentral:lncRNA from 1 species
GUAUCAUUAGGGAGGAUCAACACCAGGGCGGUGGUGAGUCGAAACUUGAGUUCGAAGAAGCUUUCCUUGCACUUUUUAUCCCAAAUGAAAAAAAUCAUUUCUUGAUGAUUUUGGUUAAAGGAGUGGCAAUAUAGAAAAAAUCCUUGAAAAAAUGCUAGUAAUACACUGCCAGACCUAAGAAGCUACGAACUUUUAUGAU